GAGAGCCGUAUACGCUGAAAGGUGUACGUACGGUUCGGUGGAGGGUCUUAGAAAACCAAUUAUAGAAAUAUAGUAAGGCGUCUUUUUCCUAUCCUAC
rnacentral:ncRNA from 1 species